GAUGAACGCUGGCGGCGUGCCUAAUACAUGCAAGUCGAGCGAACGGACGAGAAGCUUGCUUUUCUGAUGUUAGCGGCGGACGGGUGAGUAACACGUGGAUAACCUACCUAUAAGACUGGGAUAACUUCGGGAAACCGGAGCUAAUACCGGUUAAUAUUUUGAACCGCAUGGUUCAUAAGUGAAAGACGGUCUUGCUGUCACUUAUAGAUGGAUCCGCGCUGCAUUAGCUAGUUGGUAAGGUAACGGCUUACCAAGGCAACGAUGCAUAGCCGACCUGAGAGGGUGAUCGGCCACACUGGAACUGAGACACGGUCCAGACUCCUACGGGAGGCAGCAGUAGGGAAUCUUCCGCAAUGGGCGAAAGCCUGACGGAGCAACGCCGCGUGAGUGAUGAAGGUCUUCGGAUCGUAAAACUCUGUUAUUAGGGAAGAACAUAUGUGUAAGUAACUGUGCACAUCUUGACGGUACCUAAUCAGAAAGCCACGGCUAACUACGUG
rnacentral:rRNA from 1 species